rnacentral:lncRNA from 1 species
GGCUCCACCCAGUUGAGGCUGAGUCUUUAACAUCUGGGGCUACUAAAGACCACCUUGCCCAAAAAAAGGCCUCAAGGUAUCCCCACCUCAGUCCUCAGGCCAGUGAGGGGCCCAGAGACAACCACCUCCGGCCAGGGGGCUCUGCCCAGGUGCAGACAGCUGGGGAGGGGAGAAGGGGUGAGAACACAGGGCGGCCUGGCGGUCAACAGAGGCGAGGGCUUGCCCCCACCUCUGCCACCGGCUCAGUUGACAGCGUUCAUUAAUGCCAACAUCCCGUGUCACCUAACGGUCCAUCCACAAAGGAACAGCUUCGCUCCCAUCAGUCGCCAACGGCAGAAGCACCCACACCACCAGCAGCCCAGGGUCAGACGAGUCCAGCAGGGCCAGCAGACGCUGAGGUCUCGCUCAAGGCCUUUUCUGCAGGAGCCAGUUCUGCAGACAUCAAAGCAGGGCUGGGGGUGCAACUGUGUCAGCUCCCGCUCCCGGCAAGCGACCGGGCGGCAGCAAGAGGACAAAGGAGGCCUCGUGGAGCACAUUCAUCAACCGUCCGGCUCAUCAAACCCGGGGGCUCUCACGGCCCCGCCAACGGCCCGCUUCUCCCGUCAGCCCGGGCCCACCUCCGCCCCGCGAGGAGUGUGCACGGAGGCCAGGGACACCAGCGGCCACGUGGCGGCACACCCCCUGCACCACGGCAAGCUGCUACUCCGUCCCCAUCUGUCAUCCUCGGCGGGCACAGUGCUCUGGGGACGGUGCCCAGACCUGCUGCCAGCUCUCCUGAGCCGGGCAGGGGCUGAGAGCCAGCAGAGCUCCUUCCCCGAGCCCCGCCCCCACCAUCUCUGACCGAGGCGGCCGUCCAUCACUGCUCAGGGCGCGACCGGCUGACUUCACCCCUUGUAUCUGCCCAGGGGAGGGGAAUGCCCACUGACGAGGACAGGCAGGGACAGUCCCCGCCCUUCCCACAGCGGGCUCGGCACAGGCGGCUGGACGGACGGCCUGGCCGACAUCUGCAUAAACAAAGCUCCAGGAGCCCGGCCUGGUGGGGCCGCAUCGCCCUCGGCUCUCAGCCCUUGGGGGAGGUGAGGGGAGUAUGCAGAACCACCCCUGAGCGUUCCACCAGGCCAGGGAGGGUGCCCGCAGCUGGCCCCGGCAAGAAUGAAGUUCGGGUGCUUGGAGCGUGUUGCCCACGAGUCCAAGAGCUUCCUUCAGGGGCUGGCAGCAGCCACGCCCUCUGGGCCUGAGUGUGUGGGACACCAGUGCUCCCCACUCCCAGCCUCUGUCCCUGUGCGGCCCUCACCUGCCCUUCCAGCCCCGUCUCUCUCAUCGACUUCCUGCUAAGCCCGGCCCCCAGGCCUCCCCUCCCUAAGGAGCAGUUGUGACGCCAGUUGGAGGCAAGCUGAGCCCUGGGCCCCCAGGCCAGCCCACCACCUGCUGUCCCCACCCGCACUCUGCCUCCUCACAGCCCUCAAGCUCCCGAGGGCAGGCUCGGGAACUGGGUCAUCACACCGGUGUGCCACCGCCACGCGCCCAGACCUCCUCCCCACGGCCCACCCUGCCCCUCACCCUCCCUCUCAUCUGCUAUACAGACAUCCCCCCACCUCAAGGCCUGCACUGUCCCCCUGCCUGGACGUUCUUCCCUCGGCACACCCCAUCCAGGUCUCAGUCCGAACGCCUCCUCCCGCACAGGCUCCUGUGCCCACCGGGCUCAUGGACUCUGCCCCUGUCGGGCCCACCCCACCGUCCGAGGGGCCCCGACCAUGCCUCGGUCACAGGGCUCAGGCCAGCCUCGUUCUACCCCGGGAUACGGACACCCGGGCACUCUGCGGGGAACUGGCCAUGAAGACGUCUGCCAAGGCGUUCAGAGGCUCUCCCCACUCUGCACGGCUCCCCAAGUCCCCCCAUCAGGGCCUGAAGGCUGUGCUCAGGGACUCCCUCCACCCUGAAGUGCCUCAGGCAGGCGAACAGGGGCCCUGAGGUCAGUCAGUGCCAAGGACGAUCCCAGCGAUGAAGGAUCCGGGCGACAGACGGACGGUGAAACCCGAGACCCCUGCCCGGUCCCAGCGGUGCGGGCUG